rnacentral:lncRNA from 1 species
AAAUAUAAAUUGAAAUCUUACAAAAUGGCAUGUCACACCAAUCAAUCUUGUUUUUUGAGUGUUUUAUGCCUUGUUUUGAUGGUUAGUUCGGGUAAGAAUGAAAUUUUAUUUUUAUUUUUGAGUUUCAAUUUUAAAGUAGAAUUUACUAACACCAAAUGUUUUUUAUUGAAACAUAUAUUGCAUCUUUAUAUUCAAAAGAAAGUAAAAAAGACUCGUCUAAAAAAUUAUGUGAUUGUUUAACCCUUCUAAGAAGUUGAUUUCUUUUUAAACAAGAUAUGUAGAUCAAUAACAAUUCAAUUAUGGUUUAAUCAAUUCUCAAUUCGAAAGAACAUUAGAUUGAGAUUUUUAAUGUAAAAAUAAUGAAGCAAUGUCAGACACAAACUAAUUUUAAAUUUUGGUUGAUUCAGGAUUGGUUACCAGUAUUUUGGUCCCUCCCGGAGGAGUUUGUAUAGGGCCUUGUGUUGCAACGUGCGACCAGGAUUGCCGUGGCAAGGGAUUUGGAAAAGGGGGACAAUGUUAUACUCAUCUUGAGAAGACAACAUGUUGUUGUUUUCACCAAUGAAUUUUAUUGUAUGAGUUCAAUAAAAAUAAUAAAACGUGCACUUCAGUUUAGCUCUGGAACUUACUUUUUGUAAGAAAUUUGUGUAAAUCUUUAAAAUACUAUAAACACUAUUAUGAAUAAAUGAAAUUUAAAAUGGAAUAUAUAUUAUUUGCAUUGUCUUUUUUUUAUAAAAUAUUAAUUAAAUAUUUUAAUUAUUUAUGUUUUCAUGUUGAAUAAAAUGGAUGUUUUAAAUUUAUCAAAAAUAUGGUUCCCUUGAAAUCACAAAAAAUAUAUUAUACAUGGAUAGUUAGUGAGGAUGGAUUUAAAGACAGAAGAUAAAGAAUUUAUUUGAGUUAUGCAAAUAUUCUAAUUUUAAAUUCUUAAUAAUAGGUAAUCAAGUGUUUGGUUAAAAUUAUGAUUGAUAAAGUAUAUCUGAAAUUGUGUUUCAAAGAAAAUCCUUAUUCAUAUCCUACUAGUGGUGUUUAUUUUAAAAAAAAAAACUCUUAGUUUGAUGAUUAGGUAGAUCUUAAAAUCAAAGUUUUAACAAUCGAAAGGGUAACCAGUGAACUCUGAAGGGAUUAAUUAUUAAUAAAGAGAUAGACCAAUAUUAAUAAGUACAAGAGAGGGAAAAGAAGAGAAAGAGAAAGAAAGAGGAAAAGAGAAGGAGAAAGAAAGAAGAAAAGAGAAAGAGGAAUUAAUGGGUUUUGGUUAACCGUUUAACACAGAAACAAAAUGUAAUUUCUGUUUGUACAGAAUAUGUCACCAAGGGGAUUCGAACCCAGGACCUCCUUGAAACUAUAUAUGCCUUACCACUAGGCUAGAAAGGUUGUUGUUGAAUGUUUAUGCAGUGAAUAAAUAUUAACCUAAAAUUUGAUUAAGAUAGAUUGAUGAAUUAAUUGAGUAUUAUAGCUCCGUUUUGGAUGCGGACGGAUGCGUUAGUAAGAUAAUGGAAAAGGCUAUUAUUAUGAUAUCAUAUUAUAGUAUAUUAUGUGUCUUACAAAUUAAAUGAAUUAUAUUUAUGAUGGGUGUUAAACAUGGUUGAUAUGUUUGAUUGUGAAAUAACAUGAUUAAAAACCUUACCAAAGGAGAGUGAGGAAACCUAGGAGGAUAAAAUGAUUAAUAUAUAUAUAGUAUAUUAGUAUAAGAUAGUAUAUAUAUAUAUAUAUAUAUAAUAUAUAUAUAAUAUAUAUAUCAUAUAUAUUAUAUAUAUAUAUAUUAUAUAUAUAUAGUAUAUAUAUAUAUCUAUAUAAUAAUUGAAAUACGACAUAGACUUUUUUUUAAAUUAUUUGAGAAACAAUUUUGCGCACACUAGAAUUAAAUUUAUAAAAAUUGGGCAGUUAUUGUUUUUAGUCAGCAGAUUAAUGUUCGCCAAUUAGACUUUGUCAAGAAUUUAUGUUGUAUUUGUAAUUUUGGUACUAUUUUUUUGUGUUGUGAUGAUUUAAUUUUAGCACUUGUACGAAAUUUAAAUAAUUGAACUUGUGAAAUUGUUAUAAUUUGAUGUUUUGUAGGUGUCAUUGAUUUUUUAUUAGAGACCCAGAGUCACAUGUUUCGGAGGCCGGGUUUAAUAACUUUAUAUUUUUUGAUAGAAGACAGGUAUAUUAAAAAAUAACUUUUUCCCUAUUUAUUCGGUUUAGUCAUGCGGUUCGGACCUGUGGACCGGUGGUUCGACUAAUGAAUCGAGUUGCUCAAUACCCUGCGCGGAGCUGGUUUGAAUGACCCUGUUCGAACUUGUGUAAAACUUUGAUUUUAAGGAUCUAACCUAAGUCAAAUCAAACCUACAGAGUGUUUUUUUAAAAUAACACCCAGUAGUAGGAUAUGAAUAUAAGGAUUUUCUUCGAAACACAAUUUCAGAUUAUAUCUUUAUCAAUCAUAAUUUAACCAAACACUUGAUUACUAUAUAUAAGAAAUUUAAAAUUAAGAAUAUUUGGCAUAACUCAAAUAAAUUCUUUAUCUUGUGUCUUUAAAUCCAUCCUCAUAACAUCCAUGUAAAUAUAUUUUUUUAUGAUUUCAAAGGGAACCAUAUUUUUUGGAUAAAUUUAAAACAUCCAUUUUCAUUCAACAUGAAAAAUAAUAAUUAAAAUAUUUAAGUAAUUUUUAUAAAAAAAAAGACAAUGCAAUAAUAUUAUUCCAUUUUAAAUUUCAUUUAUUCAUAAUCGUGUUUAUAGUAUUUUAAAGAUUUAUACACAAUUUCUUACAAAAAGUAAAGUUCCAGAGCUAAACUGAAGUGCAUGUUUUAUUAUUUUUAUUGAACUCAUACAAUAAAUCAUUGGUGAAAACACAAAACAUGUUGUCUUCUCAAGAUGAG